GUGUUGAAUGAUGAUUUUUAUUUGUUUGCCUGACUUCCUUUUGGAUAAUGAGGGCAUCUUUAGUCACUACCUCUUCUGAGACAC
rfam:Loxodonta africana unplaced genomic scaffold scaffold_3, whole genome shotgun sequence.